UGGGGAAUUUUGGACAAUGGGCGCAAGCCUGAUCCAGCCAUGCCGCGUGCGGGAAGAAGGCCUUCGGGUUGUAAACCGCUUUUGUCAGGGAAGAAAUCUUCUGAGUUAAUACCUCGGGAGGAUGACGGUACCUGAAGAAUAAGCACCGGCUAACUACGUGCCAGCAGCCGCGGUAAUACGUAGGGUGCAAGCGUUAAUCGGAAUUACUGGGCGUAAAGCGUGCGCAGGCGGUUUUGUAAGACAGAGGUGAAAUCCCCGGGCUCAACCUGGGAACUGCCUUUGUGACUGCAAGGCUUGAGUGCGGCAGAGGGGGGCAUGGAAUUCCGCGUGUAGCAGUGAAAUGCGUAGAUAUGCGGAGGAACACCGAUGGCGAAGGCAAUCCCCUGGGCCUGCACUGACGCUCAUGCACGAAA
rnacentral:rRNA from 1 species